rnacentral:rRNA from 1 species
UACAGAGGUCCCAAGCGUUGUUCGGAUUCACUGGGCGUAAAGGGUGCGUAGGCGGUCGGGUAAGUCUGAUGUGAAAUCUCACAGCUUAACUGUGAAACUGCAUUGGAUACUAUCCGGCUCGAGGAAUGGAGGGGAGACUGGAAUACUUGGUGUAGCAGUGAAAUGCGUAGAUAUCAAGUGGAACACCAGUGGCGGAGGCGAGUCUCUGGACAUUUCCUGACGCUGAGGCACGAAAGCCAGGGGAGCAAACGGG